AUUGAACGCUGGCGGCAUGCCUUACACAUGCAAGUCGAACGGUAACAGGUCUUCGGAUGCUGACGAGUGGCGAACGGGUGAGUAAUACAUCGGAACGUGCCCGAUCGUGGGGGAUAACGAAGCGAAAGCUUUGCUAAUACCGCAUACGAUCUACGGAUGAAAGCAGGGGACCGCAAGGCCUUGCGCGAACGGAGCGGCCGAUGGCAGAUUAGGUAGUUGGUGGGAUAAAAGCUUACCAAGCCGACGAUCUGUAGCUGGUCUGAGAGGACGACCAGCCACACUGGGACUGAGACGCGGCCCAGACUCCUACGGGAGGCAGCAGUGGGGAAUGUUGGACAAUGGGCGAAAGCCUGAUCCAGCCAUGCCGCGUGCAGGAUGAAGGCCUUCGGGUUGUAAACUGCUUUUGUACGGAACGAAAAGACUCUGGUUAAUACCUGGGGUCCAUGACGGUACCGUAAGAAUAAGCACCGGCUAACUACGUGCCAGCCGCCGCCGCGGUAA
rnacentral:rRNA from 1 species